UACGUAGGGCGCAAGCGUUAUCCGGAAUUAUUGGGCGUAAAGAGCUCGUAGGCGGUUUGUCGCGUCUGCCGUGAAAGUCCGGGGCUCAACUCCGGAUCUGCGGUGGGUACGGGCAGACUAGAGUGAUGUAGGGGAGACUGGAAUUCCUGGUGUAGCGGUGAAAUGCGUAGAGAUCCGGAGGAAGACCGGUGGCGAAGGCGGCCUGCUGGGCAGUUACUGACACUGAGGCGCGACAGCGUGGGGAGCAAACAGG
rnacentral:rRNA from 1 species